CGGCUGAGUAUCCUUGUGCUUUUGGCUACUGGCAUUCUGCAGCAGCUGUCUGAAGGAGAUGGAGAGCUCCAACAGGGAUGGGCCGGAACUCCAGCUGCUGUGAGAGCAGAGAGAUGGAGUGAAUCUGGACCCUUCAUGGUAUCAUGAAACCAUCAAACUCUGAAACAACCUACACUGAGGUUUUAAAAAUGAUUAAAGAAAGUGAGAUUGAGAGACCGUCCUUCCUCAGCUGGUCCAGGAUCAACCACUUCUCCACUCUACAAGCACUACCUAGGGGCAUCUAUGUCUUCAGCGAUAAAGUUGGUUACCAACUUAACGGGCC
rnacentral:lncRNA from 1 species